AUUGUUACUGUGGAAUGAUUUUCUUGC
rnacentral:piRNA from 1 species